UGGGGAAUAUUGGACAAUGGGGGCGCAAGCCUGAUCCAGCAAUGCCGCGUGUGUGAAGAAGGCCUUCGGGUUGUAAAGCACUUUUAUCAGGAGGCGAAACGCUGUCGGCUAAUACCCGGCGGAACUGACGGUACCUGAGGAAUAAGCACCGGCUAACUUCGUGCCAGCAGCCGCGGUAAUACGAAGGGUGCAAGUGUUAAUCGGAAUUACUGGGCGUAAAGCGUGCGUAGGGUCGGUUUCAUUAAGUCUGCUGUGAAAUCCCCGGGCUCAACCUGGGAAUGGCAGUGGAUACUGGGAGGCUAGAGUGUGUGCAGAGGGUGGUGGAAUUCCCGGUGUAGCGGUGAAAUGCGUAGAGAUCGGGAGGAACAUCAGUGGCGAAGGCGGCCACCUGGGACAACACUGACGCUGAGGCACGAAAGCGUGGGGAGCCAAACAGGAUUAGAUACCCUGGUAGUCCACGCCCUAAAGCGAUGCGAACUGGAUGUUGGUCUCAACUCGGAGAUCAGUGUCGG
rnacentral:rRNA from 1 species